rnacentral:RNase_P_RNA from 2 species
GCCCUCAUCAACGCUGCGUUUCCAUGCUACAAACGGAGAGCCUGCGCAAGCAGCCUCUCGCAUCAUUUGCUCCUCGCAUGUGGGAAAUUCGGAGAAAGCUUCAAAGCAGGAGGAGCCUCUCUCGGGAGGCUGCCUCUUGUGCUCGGUUCCAACGUUUACCGUUGUGUUCUCGAGUCCGCCUGUGAUGGCCUGGCGUCACCCCGACGUCUGCAACAGACAUCAGAAAUCUCAGGCCCGGGAGGCCUCGUGUGUGUACCCUCUUUUGAGGGGAAGAUACGGUGGUUACUUUCUCGGUGCCUAUGGGAAGUCGUUGCGAAGCUUGUUGCGCAAACUUGAGUGCGAUAUGCAGCGUUUGUUUUGCUUCUGGCAAGAUGAAUCACACAAUUCCGAUCAUUCUGUUGAGGGC